rnacentral:rRNA from 1 species
ACAAAAACAUGUCCUUAUGAAGUCAUAUAAGGUCUGGCCUGCCCACUGAAGUUUAAAGGGCCGCGGUAAUUUGACCGUGCGAAGGUAGCAUAAUCAAUAGUCUUUUAAUUGAAGGCUGGAAUGAAUGGUUGGACAAGGAGUACGCUGUCUUAUUUGUAAGUAUAAAAUUUAACUUUUAAGUGAAAAGGCUUAAUUGGACUAGUGGGACGAUAAGACCCUAUAAAACUUUACAUUAGUGCACUAGGUUUUGAAUUUAAGUUUAAAGUGUGUUAGUGUAUGUAUGUUGCGUUGGGGCGACGGGGAUAUAAUUGUAACUGUUUGUUAGUUGGAAUAGAUAUAUUUAGGGAAUCUUGAUCCUUUAGUAGGGGUUAGAAGAGUAAGUUACUUUAGGGAUAACAGCGUUAUUUUUUCUGAGAGUUCUUAUCGACGAAAGUAGUUGCGACCUCGAUGUUGAAUUAAAGUUUCGGCGGGGUGUAGGAGCUUCGUGAGUAGGUCUGUUCGACCUUUAAAACUUUACAUGAUUUGAGUUCAAACCGGUGUGAGCCAGGUUG